rnacentral:rRNA from 1 species
GGGAGUGAGACUGCGGGCGACAAGGUUCGUAGUCGAGAGGGAAACAGCCCAGACCGUCAGCUAAGGUCCCUAAAUACCGCUAAGUGUGAAAUGAUGUGUGAUUGCGAAGACAGCCAGGAGGUUGGCUUAGAAGCAGCCAUUCCUUAAAAGAGUGCGUAAUAGCUCACUGGUCGAGUAAUGAUGCGCAGACAAUGUAACGGGGCUAAGCGGUAUACCGAAGCUACGGAUCAGCACUUAGGUGUUGGAUGGUAGGGGAGCAUUCCAUGGACCGACGAAGGUAAACUGUAAGGUUUGCUGGAGGGGAUGGAAGAGAGAAUGCAGGUAUAAGUAGACGAAAAGACAGGUGAGAUUCCCGUCCGCCGAAAGCAUAAGGAUUCCUGGGUAAAGGUCAUCUGCCCAGGGUAAGUCGGCCCCUAAGGUGAGGACGAAAGUCGUAAUCGAUGGGAAACUGGUUCAAAUUCCAGUACCUUAUUAAGUUUCGAGGGGAUGACGCAUGAGGUGAAACCCGGCCGGGCGACGGUUGUCCCGGUCAAAGCAGCGAGUUGAUGAUUCCGGCAGGCAAAUCCACCGGGAGAGAUGAGCUGUGACAGCGAGUGGAGCGACAGCGAAGCGAAGCGGGCGUAAUCAAGGUGCCAAGAAAUAAUCUCUCAGGCUAGGCUUAAUAAGACCGUACCGUAAACCGACACAGGUAUGCGGGAUGAGAAAUCUCAGGCGCUCGAGAGAACUCGCGUUAAGGAACUCGGCAAAAUACAUACGUAACUUCGGGAGAAGUAUGACCAUCUUUGGUUUAGCAAUAGGUUAAGGGUGGGCACAGAGCAGUCCCAGGCGACUGUUUAUCAAAAACACAGGCUCUGCGAAUCAGCACUG